rnacentral:rRNA from 1 species
UACGGAGGGGGCUAGCGUUGUUCGGAAUUACUGGGCGUAAAGCGCACGUAGGCGGCUUUGUAAGUUAGAGGUGAAAGCCCAGGGCUUAACCCUGGAAUUGCCUUUAAGACUGCAUCGCUAGAAUCGUGGAGAGGUGAGUGGAAUUCCGAGUUUAGAGGUGAAAUUCGUAGAUAUUCGGAAGAACACCAGUGGCGAAGGCGACUCACUGGACACGUAUUGACGCUGAGGUGCGAAAGCGUGGGGAGCAAACAGG